AGAGUUUGAUCCUGGCUCAGGACGAACGCUGGCGGCGCGCCUAACACAUGCAAGUCGAACGAGCGAGAGAGAGCUUGCUUUCUCGAGCGAGUGGCGAACGGGUGAGUAACGCGUGAGGAAUCUGCCUCAAAGAGGGGGACAACAGUUGGAAACGACUGCUAAUACCGCAUAAGCCCACGGUGCCGCAUGGCACAGAGGGAAAAGGAGUAAUCCGCUUUGAGAUGGCCUCGCGUCCGAUUAGCUAGUUGGUGAGGUAACGGCCCACCAAGGCGACGAUCGGUAGCCGGACUGAGAGGUUGAACGGCCACAUUGGGACUGAGACACGGCCCAGACUCCUACGGGAGGCAGCAGUGGGGAAUAUUGCACAAUGGGGGAAACCCUGAUGCAGCGACGCCGCGUGGAGGAAGAAGGUCUUCGGAUUGUAAACUCCUGUUGUUGGGGAAGAUAAUGACGGUACCCAACAAGGAAGUGACGGCUAACUACGUGCCAGCAGCCGCGGUAAAACGUAGGUCACAAGCGUUGUCCGGAAUUACUGGGUGUAAAGGGAGCGCAGGCGGGAAGACAAGUUGGAAGUGAAAUCUAUGGGCUCAACCCAUAAACUGCUUUCAAAACUGUUUUUCUUGAGUAGUGCAGAGGUAGGCGGAAUUCCCGGUGUAGCGGUGGAAUGCGUAGAUAUCGGGAGGAACACCAGUGGCGAAGGCGGCCUACUGGGCACCAACUGACGCUGAGGCUCGAAAGUGUGGGUAGCAAACAGGAUUAGAUACCCUGGUAGUCCACACCGUAAACGAUGAUUACUAGGUGUUGGAGGAUUGACCCCCUUCAGUGCCGCAGUUAACACAAUAAGUAAUCCACCUGGGGAGUACGACCGCAAGGUUGAAACUCAAAGGAAUUGACGGGGGCCCGCACAAGCAGUGGAGUAUGUGGUUUAAUUCGACGCAACGCGAAGAACCUUACCAAGUCUUGACAUCCCUUGACAGACAUAGAAAUAUGUAAUCUCUUCGGAGCAAGGAGGCAGGUGGUGCAUGGUUGUCGUCAGCUCGUGUCGUGAGAUGUUGGGUUAAGUCCCGCAACGAGCGCAACCCUUAUGGUCAGUUACUACGCAAGAGGACUCUGGCCAGACUGCCGUUGACAAAACGGAGGAAGGUGGGGAUGACGUCAAAUCAUCAUGCCCUUUAUGACUUGGGCUACACACGUACUACAAUGGCGUUAAACAAAGAGAAGCAAGACCGCGAGGUGGAGCAAAACUCAGAAACAACGUCCCAGCUCGGACUGCAGGCUGCAACUCGCCUGCACGAAGUCGGAAUUGCUAGUAAUCGUGGAUCAGCAUGCCACGGUGAAUACAAUCACCGGGCCUUGUACACACCGCCCGUCA
rnacentral:rRNA from 1 species